AAUUGACUUCUUUUGGAGGAUGGUACAGUUCUAUGAAUUUUAACUCGUAUAAAUUUGUGCAGCCCUCACCACAAUCAGGAUACAAAGCUGUUCCAUCCACCCCCAAAAAUCUCCCUGUAGUCACACCCCCCCCUCCCCACUAACCUCUGGCAACCACUAAUCUGUUCUCUCUCCCUAUAGUUUUGCCUUUUCUAGAAUGUCACAUAGGUGGAAUCCUGUAUACCUUUGACUGACUUCUUUCACCCAGCAUAACUCAUCCCCAUCUUUAUUUUUUUUCCUUUUUUGGAAAAUUUCCUUCCACCCAUACAACUGAUUUGAGCAUUAACACCUUUCAGAUGAUUAUAUGUUCACCACAAGCCUCCCGCUCUUAAGAAAACUGAUAAAGUAUCUUACUGUAAAGGGUUUUUCCCUGGAGUGAAGUUGCAGGCUCUGAGUAGUUCUGUUGUACUGGGUUUUUGUUCUGUGC
rnacentral:lncRNA from 1 species